AUGCAAGAGAAAACAGACAGUCAGUUCCAGGCAAUGAGAAAAUCCUUCCAUGACUUGAAAGAGGAAUUCCAUAAAAAGACAGACAACAUUGAAGAUGAAUUAAACAGAACUUCUAGAAAUACAGAUAUUUAUCAUUGCAGGGCGACUUCAACAUUUCUUCAUGUUAACCACCAAGAACAUUAUUUAGGCGACACUCUGAAAAUGAAUGCUUCUCCAAGCUUAGUGACCGUUGUACUCCUUAUGCUUGGAAAAGCCCAAGGAGACUCCGUGACCCAGAUGGAAGGCCAAAUGACCAUCUCAGAAAGGACUUCUUUGACGAUAAACUGCACUUAUUCAGCCACAGGGUACCCUACCCUUUUCUGGUAUGUCCAGUAUCCAGGGGAAGGUCCACAGCUUCUCCUGAAAGCUACGAAGGCCAAUGAAAAGGGGAGCAACAAAGAAUUUGAAGCCACAUACGAUAAAGACAAGACCUCCUUCCACUUGAAGAAAGCUUCAGUUCAAGAGUCAGAUUCAGCCGUGUACUACUGUGCUCUGAGUGACACAGCGACGGAGACGGCGACUGCAGGGGGAGCUGGGCACAAACUCCAAGCAGCACAAAGGACCCGGCUGCUCAGGUCUGACUCUUAUCCACGGUGGUUUCAGCACAGUCUGUGGCUGUGUGUCCUUCAGUUUUUCUGGGUAAUAUGA